GCUCUGGCAGAACAUAAACUAAAAUUGGAACAGUACAGAGAAGGUUCACAUGGCCCCUGCGUGAGGAUGACACGUAAAUUCAUGAAACAUUCCAUAUUUAG
rnacentral:snRNA from 1 species